AUUGAACGCUGGCGGCAGGCCUAACACAUGCAAGUCGAGCGAGCGGCGGACGGGUGAGUAAUGUAUGGGGACUGCCCGAUAGCGGGGGAUAACUACUGGAAACGGUGGCUAAUACCGCAUACUAUCGGAUAACCCAUAUGGGAUUAGCUAGUAGGUGGGGUAACGGCUCACCGAGGCGACGAUCGCUAGCUGGUCUGAGAGGAUGAUCGGCCACACUGGGACUGAGACACGACCCAGACUCCUACGGAGGCAGCAGGGGGGAAGAUGGCACAAUGGGCGAAAGCCGGAUGCAGCGAUGCCGCGUGGAUGAAGAAGGCCUUAGGGUUGCAAAGUACUUUCAGCGGGGAGGGGUUACCCGCAGAAGAAGCACCGGCUAACUCCGUGCCAGCAGCCGCGGUAAUAC
rnacentral:rRNA from 1 species